UACGUAGGGGGCUAGCGUUGUCCGGAAUCAUUGGGCGUAAAGAGCGCGUAGGCGGCUAGAUAAGUCCGGUGUGAAAGUCACAGGCUCAACCUGUGAAUGCCGCUGGAAACUGUCUGGCUAGAGUCCGGAAGGGGCGAGUGGAAUUCCUGGUGUAGCGGUGAAAUGCGCAGAUAUCAGGAGGAACACCAAUGGCGAAGGCAGCCUUCUGGGCCAACACUGACGCUCAUGCACGAAAGCGUGGGGAGCAAACAGG
rnacentral:rRNA from 1 species